GUACUUGCUUCAGCAGCACACAUACUAAAAUUGGAAUGAUACGGAGAUUAGCAUGGCCCCUGAGCAAGGACAACACACACAUUCAUGAAGCAUUCUAUAUUUUG